rnacentral:misc_RNA from 1 species
GAGAAUUCAAAGUCGGCGCCGGAGACAAAUUCAGAGCGGCCGAACCUACCGCCGGGAUUCCGGUUUCACCCUACCGACGAGGAGCUGGUGGUUCACUAUCUGAAGAAGAAGGCUACUUCUCUGCCCUUGCCGGUCGCCAUCAUCGCCGAAGUUGACCUCUACAAGUACGAUCCUUGGGAGCUUCCAGCUAAGGCGAGCUAUGGGGAGCAAGAAUGGUACUUUUUCAGUCCGAGAGAUCGGAAAUAUCCGAACGGAGCACGACCAAAUCGCGCGGCGACAUCGGGGUAUUGGAAGGCG